rnacentral:rRNA from 1 species
GUCCACGCCGUAAACGAUGAGUGCUAGGUGCUGCGGGUAUUGACCCCUGCGGUGCCGUAGCUAACGCGUUAAGCACUCCGCCUGGGGAGUACGGCCGCAAGGCUAAAACUCAAAGGAAUUGACGGGGGCCCGCACAAGCGGUGGAGCAUGUGGUUCAAUUCGACGCAACGCGCAGAACCUUACCUGGGUUAAAUCCACUCGAAUCUGGCAGAGAUGCCGGGGUGCCUUUCGGGGAACGAGUGAGAAGGUGCUGCAUGGCUGUCGU